UGGGGAAUAUUGCACAAUGGGGGAAACCCUGAUGCAGCGACGCCGAGUGAGCGAAGAAGGUUUUCGAAUCGUAAAGCUCUGUCCUAUGGGAAGAUAAUGACGGUACCAUAGGAGGAAGCCCCGGCUAACUACGUGCCAGCAGCCGCGGUAAUACGUAGGGGGCAAGCGUUGUCCGGAAUCACUGGGCGUAAAGGGUUCGCAGGCGGAAAUGCAAGUCAGUUGUGAAAGGCAGAGGCUCAACCUCUGUAAGCAAUUGAAACUGUAUUUCUUGAGAUGUGGAGAGGCAAGUGGAAUUCCUAGUGUAGCGGUGAAAUGCGUAGAUAUUAGGAAGAAUACCGGUGGCGAAGGCGACUUGCUGGACACAAACUGACGCUGAGGAACGAAAGCGUGGGUAGCAAACAGG
rnacentral:rRNA from 1 species